CUACGGGAGGCAGCAGUGGGGAAUAUUGGACAAUGGGCGCAAGCCUGAUCCAGCCAUGCCGCGUGAGUGAUGAAGGCCUUCGGGUCGUAAAGCUCUGUGGGAAGGGACGAAAAAGCUGCAUCUAAUACCUGCAGCCUUGACGGUACCUUCUUAGCAAGCACCGGCUAACUCCGUGCCAGCAGCCGCGGUAAUACGGAGGGUGCAAACGUUGCUCGGAAUCAUUGGGCGUAAAGCGCACGUAGGCGGUUCGGUAAGUCGGAUGUGAAAUCCCUCGGCUUAACCGAGGAAGUGCAUCCGAAACUGCCGAGCUUGAGUACGGAAGAGGGUCUCGGAAUUCCCGGUGUAGAGGUGAAAUUCGUAGAUAUCGGGAGGAACACCAGUGGCGAAGGCGGAGACCUGGGCCGAUACUGACGCUGAGGUGCGAAAGCGUGGGGAGCAAACAGGAUUAGAUACCCGAGUAGUCC
rnacentral:rRNA from 1 species